GAGAUGGGUGCCCCUUGUGGUCGGUGGACAGGUGGUGCAUGGUUGUCGUCAGCUCGUGUCGUGAGAUGUUGGGUUAAGUCCCGCAACGAGCGCAACCCUCGUCCUAUGUUGCCAGCGGGUCAUGCCGGGGACUCAUGGGAGACUGCCGGGGUCAACUCGGAGGAAGGUGGGGAUGACGUCAAAUCAUCCUGCCCCUUAUGACCUGGGCUACACACGUGCUACAAUGGUUGGUACAACGAGUUGCGAGUCGGUGACGGCGAGCUAAUCUCUUAAAGCCAAUCUCAGUUCGGAUUGUAGGCUGCAACUCGCCUACAUGAAGUCGGAAUCGCUAGUAAUCGCGGAUCAGCACGCCGCGGUGAAUACGUUCCCGGGCCUU
rnacentral:rRNA from 1 species